rnacentral:SRP_RNA from 1 species
GCAACUCAUGCGGGGGCAACCAGGUGGGUGAGUGCAGCUUUCCUGGCGCCACAGGCUGCACCUGCGGUGUCAUCCCCAGUGGCAUGCCCGAU